UCUAGGCAAAGUAUCUUGCUCAAGGGUACAGCAGCAGUGUCCCCCACCUGGGAGUGAACCCACGACCCUCCGGUCAAGAGUCCAGAGCCUUAACCACUACUCCACACUGCUGCCCUAUGACUAUGCAAUACUCGCAAGUUAUCAGCAGUUGUGUACAACACAUAUGCCCUAAAGCAGAUCUUUUUCAUCGGACAACACAUUAAGAGCCUAGGCUGCCACCACGAUACCUCGAAGGAAAUCAGCCUGUGGAGCUUUUCUUGAGUCAACAGGACACAAGGGAGAAGAGAUGAUAAAUGCAUUUCUGACAUUUCUUCAAGGAGUUGGGCUCGACAUACAGGAUUGCCGUGGCCAAAGCUAUGACAUUGCGAGUAACAUGUCUUGUUGCUACAAGGGCAUGUAGGCUAGAAUAGGUAACCUGAAUGAACUCGCGAAGUAUGUGCCUUGCUUUGGACAUUCUUUGAAUCUUGUGGGCAAGGAUGCUGCAAAUUCAUGCAAUCAGGCUCUAGCGUUUUUUGACUUUGUUUUUUUAAAGAGCAAAACUAGCCAGAAAUGAGAACAAAGAUUCAGAAAACGAAUCAUCUACCAAUACAGAUGAACGAUUUGAAAACAAAGGUACGGGUAAAGCAGACCGAAAACCUACUCGACGAGUUGGAUUCAGUUUAAUUGUGAAGGAAUGUUUGAGAAAUUAUGUUUAGAACAUAGCGAGAGAGAAAUAAUAUUUUAUAUUGCCAUUUAUGAAACCAGAUGUUGUUCCGCCGAAAAUUAUGGUGUCCUUCAUCAUUUCUUUAAGUUUAUGUUUAAUAGAGAUUUUACAUUACUUAUGGAAGCAUGAAAGUUGUCACUGUUUAACAUAAUGGUAACAUGACCAUAUUUUUCGAUUUACGAUUUUCGUUUAAAGUGUUUAAAAUUGAUUCUUGUUAAACAUGUAGGUCCAUUCGGAAUGUGUUUGGAAAAAAAAUGUUUACAUGUGUUUCACAAUACGUUUAAUUACAGGCUGUUAGCAAAGGGGCCUGUCAAUGGUCCUACUGACACCGUAAAUUAUAUUUUGCAAUGUGUCCACUGCCUUUGGUAUCCUUUAUAGUUUAUCAGUAGCAAGCUGACAGUUUGGGGGUUUUCUUUAAUUUAUUUUACAUAUUCUGUACAGGGUAGGCGAGUUAGUAUUUUCCAUUUAGCACUGACAUGUAAUGCAUUGGUCGUACAACUGAACAUCUAAUAAUUCAUCGAAAGUAAUUAUUUUGUUUAUUACUGCCUAAAAAUAUAUAAGAACUAUAAUAAUUUGAAAAAUAAAACCUCAGAUAGCUGUUACAAUAGGUAAUUAAAAAUAUUAUUGUUUAAUGGAUUUUAGUUUGUUUUGAAUGCAAUUAUUUACAUAAAACACACAACAAAGUGAUGUACAGAUAACAAAUACAUUUCCAAUUUUAUUGAUUAAACACUGUUCAAAACAUUUGCUGUUCAGAAAAAAACUUUUCAACAUUUUUGAUGCUUAAGUCAAUCUUUUACUAUUAUGAUUGUCACAAAUUUACAAGGUAAAAUGUUUUGUAACUCGUAA